GUCCACGCCGUAACGAUGGGCACUAGAUGUGGGCGGUGUCGACUCCGCCCGUGUCGCAGCUAACGCAUUAAGUGCCCCGCCUGGGGAGUACGGCCGCAAGGCUAAACUCAAAGGAAUUGACGGGGCCCGCACAAGCAGCGGAGCAUGUGGUUUAAUUCGAUGCAACGCGAAGAACCUUACCUAGGCUUGACAUGUCCGUGCAAACCAUAGAAAUAUGGUCCCCUCUUCGGAGCGCGGUCACAGGUGGUGCAUGGCUGUCGU
rnacentral:rRNA from 1 species